rnacentral:rRNA from 1 species
AUCUUUCGCAAUGGGCGAAAGCCUGACGAAGCGACGCCGUGUGAAUGAAGAAGGCCCUAGGGUCGUAAAGUUCUUUCGCAAGGGAACAAGAGAAGUUUGCUAACAUCAGACUGAUUUGAGCGUACCUUGUAAAGAAGCACCGGCUAACUCCGUGCCAGCAGCUGCGGUAAUACGGAGGGUGCAAGCAUUAAUCGGAUUUAUUGGGCGUAAAGGGGGCGUAGGCUGGAACAUAAGUCAGACGUGAAAUCCCGGGGCUCAACCCCGGAACUGCGUUUGAAACUAUAUUUCUUGAGGCAAGGCGGAGAAAACGGAAUUCCACAUGUAGCGGUGAAAUGCGUAGAUAUGUGGAAGAACACCAGUGGCGAAAGCGGUUUUCUAGCUUUGACCUGACGCUGAUGCCCGAAAGCUAGGGGAGCAAACAGGAUUAGAUACCCUGGUAGUCCUAGCCGUAAACGAUGCAUACUUGGUGUAGCCGGACUCAACCCCGGCUGUGCCGUAGCUAACGCGUUAAGUAUGCCGCCUGGGGAGUACGCCCGCAAGGGUAAAACUCAAAAGAAUUGACGGGGACCCGCACAAGCAGUGGAGCAUGUGGUUUAAUUCGAUGCAACGCGAAGAACCUUACCCAGGCUUGACAUGUAUAUGACAGCGCUAGAGAUAGCGUUUUCUUUCGGGACAUAUACACAGGUGCUGCAUGGCUGUCGUCAGCUCGUGCCGUGAGGUGUUGGGUUAAGUCCCGCAACGAGCGCAACCCUUAUCGUUAGUUGCCAGCAUUUCGGAUGGGAACUCUAACGAGACUGCCUGGGUUAACCAGGAGGAAGGUGAGGAUGACGUCAAGUCCGCAUGGCCCUUAUGUCUGGGGCUACACACGUGCUACAAUGGCCGGUACAGAAGGCAGCGAAGCCGCGAGGUGGAGCAAAUCCUACAAAGCCGGUCCCAGUUCGGAUUGGAGUCUGCAACUCGGCUCCA